rnacentral:rRNA from 1 species
UGCGUAGGCGGACAUGAAAGUGUUUGUGAAAUCCCCGGCUUAACCGGGAAUUGCUUGGCAAACUACAUGUCUUGAGGCAAGUAGGGGUGUGUGGAACUCUUGGUGGAGCGGUGGAAUGCGUAGAUAUCAAGAGGAACGCCGAAGGUGAAGACAGCACACUGGACUUGUACUGACGCUGAGGCACGAAAGCGUGGGGAGCAAACA